GGGGAUGUAGCUUAGAUGGUAGAGCGCUCACUUAGCAUGCGAGAGGUACGGGGAUCGAUACCCCGCAUCUCUA
rnacentral:tRNA from 1 species